rnacentral:rRNA from 1 species
UACGGAGGAUGCAAGCGUUAUCCGGAAUGAUUGGGCGUAAAGCGUCCGCAGGUGGCUAUGUAAGUCUGCUGUUAAAGAGUGAGGCUCAACCGCAUAAAAGCAGUGGAAACUACAUGGCUAGAGUGCGUUCGGGGCAGAGGGAAUUCCUGGUGUAGCGGUGAAAUGCGUAGAUAUCAGGAAGAACACCGGUGGCGAAAGCGCUCUGCUAGGCCGCAACUGACACUGAGGGACGAAAGCUAGGGGAGCGAAUGGG